rnacentral:rRNA from 1 species
UACGAGUGCCCCAAGCGUUAUCCGGAAUCAUUGGGCGUAAAGGGUGUGUAGGCGGUUGUGUUAGUCUUCUGUUAAAUUCUUCGGCUUAACCGGGGGCAUGCAGAGGAAACGGCACAACUAGAGGAUGCGAGAGGUGAAUGGAACUCAUGGUGUAGGGGUGAAAUCCGUUGAUAUCAUGGGGAACACCAAAAGCGAAGGCAAUUCACUGGCGCACUCCUGACGCUGAGACACGAAAGCGUAGGUAGCGAAUGGG